AUGUGUUAUAUAAGUAUGUAAUCUCUACUUGUUAUUGUGUAUGUAGGAUCAUGAGGAGCUGUUUGAAACCAUCUCCUAAGCACUUAUAUCGUUAGUUGACCGUGAUUGCUUAAGUGGUUGGGGAGGACAUGUCUACAUUGUUUGGUUUUCAAACACAACUGGAUAAAGAAUGGGAGGCUUGACAAGAUUUGGAAAACCAAAUGUGAAGAAAGAAUGUGAAGAAAGAAAGCUACGUGAGCGGGCUGAAAGAGAUUAAGGGGAGCAACGAAUGCAAAAACAAUUGAAAGGUGUUAUGAGAAAAUUAGAUUGUCCGUGUAGUUAAAGGUAGUUUUUUUGUGUACUAUUUAGAUCAAUAUGUUAAAAAUUGUUAGUUUUGUAAUAUGUGAUAACUUGAGUUUAUGUUAUUGUAUCUUUGGUUAAUUCGUAAACAAGAUUGUAUUA